rnacentral:rRNA from 1 species
CCUACGGGUCGCACCAGUAGGAAACCUUCGGCAAUGGACGAAAGUCUGACCGAGCAACGCCGCGUGAGUGAAGAAGGUUUUCGGAUCGUAAAACUCUGUUGUUAGAGAAGAACAAGGACGUUAGUAACUGAACGUCCCCUGACGGUAUCUAACCAGAAAGCCACGGCUAACUACGUGCCAGCAGCCGCGGUAAUACGUAGGUGGCAAGCGUUGUCCGGAUUUAUUGGGCGUAAAGCGAGCGCAGGCGGUUUCUUAAGUCUGAUGUGAAAGCCCCCGGCUCAACCGGGGAGGGUCAUUGGAAACUGGGAGACUUGAGUGCAGAAGAGGAGAGUGGAAUUCCAUGUGUAGCGGUGAGAUGCGUAGAUAUAUGGAGGAACACCAGUGGCGAAGGCGGCUCUCUGGUCUGUAACUGACGCUGAGGCCCGAAAGCGUGGGGAGCAAACAGGAUUAGAUACCCGGGUAGUC